UGUAAAAUGACUUUCCUAAUUAGGUCUUUCCACCUUUCCGUGGAAAGACCUAUUGAUUUUGUUCUGAUUAUUAGGUCUUUCCACCUUUCCGUGGAAAGACCUAUAGGUUUUGUUCUGAUUAUUAUUAUUAUUUUUUUUUUUCUUCCGCCUAAUUCUUUUCUUGCGUAAUAUUGAUGUUUCAAAAGAUGUCGCUUAGAUAUUUGGAAUAUGAUAUCAUAUAGUUUAUAUGCUUUAAAUACUGACAAUGGCGUAACAAAAUACUUAACGUUGUAAGAGUUAUCUCUCCAAACACUGUUUUUCUUGUGGCCACUACUCCUUCGCAACCAUAAAAGAUUACGACAAAAUUAUUUUACCAAAUUGCUCGUUACAUCUUCAGAAUUAGGAUUUUAAUUUUGACCGAAGCUAUCCAGAGACUCCAAAUGAGAGUUAUUCCCCCUUAUGUAUUUGAUAUAAGUGAUAUGCGUUUCUAACUGGUAAACCAUAAAUGAUAGAGACCUAGGGUCUCUUGAUUUGAGAUCCUUAGUCCAAAAAAAUGAAAAUAAGGUCAAGGUCAAAGGUCAAGGUCAUAUUCUAAAAUUUGAUUUUGGCUUAUUUUCACUUAUUUUUAAAUACCGUAUGACAUAUCGACAAAUAUUUUUUCCAAAAUUGUUAGUUGCGACAUGUCCUUACUUGUAUAUUUUGGUUGAAAGGGUGCGCAUACAAGAAAUGGGAGUUUUUGUCCAUCUUACAUUUAGAAUUACGCGUAAAGUGGUAUUACUCAUUAAUCAAACAUAUUAAAGACCUAGGGUCUUUUGAUUUAAGGUCCUUGGUUUGUGACCUUGAAAUUGAGGUCAAGGUCAUAGGUUUAUACAACGUUCUAGAUUUUGACCUUUGCUUUAAAUUCAUAUAAAUACAUCAUAAAGCCAUAGGAACUAACAUUUGAAACUGAUUUUUCAUAUUUCAAUAUCAAAAUAGAUCUUUACUUGUGGAAAGACCUACAAUUGUUCUCUGAACAAUUGUUUUUAAUUAUUAUUUUUUUUUUCUUCCGCCUAAUUUUUUUCUUGCGUAAUAUUGACGUUUCAAAAGAUGUCGCUUAGAUAUUUGGAAUAUGAUAUCGUAAAGCGUAUGCGCUUUUAAAACUGACAGCUGCGUAACCAAAUACUUUACGUUGUAAGAGUUAUCUCCCCAAACACUGUUUUUCUUGUGGCCACUACUCCUUUGCAACCAUAAAAGAUUACGACAAAUUUAUUUUACCAAAUUGCUCGUUACAUCUUCAGGAUUCGGAGUUUAAUUUUGACCGAAGCUAUCCGGAGACUCGAUAUGGGAGUUAUUUCCCCUUAUGUAUAUGAUAUAAGUGAUUUGCAUUUCUAACUGGUAAACCAUAAGUGAUAAAGACCUAGGGUCUUUUGAUU
rnacentral:lncRNA from 1 species